GACGAACGCUGGCGGCGUGCUUAACACAUGCAAGUCGAACGGAAAGGCCCUGCUUUUGUGGGGUGCUCGAGUGGUGAACGGGUGAGUAACACGUGAGUAACCUGCCCUUGACUUUGGGAUAACUUCAGGAAACUGGGGCUAAUACCGGAUAGGAGCUCCUGCUGCAUGGUGGGGGUUGGAAAGUUUCGGCGGUUGGGGAUGGACUCGCGGCUUAUCAGCUUGUUGGUGGGGUAGUGGCUUACCAAGGCUUUGACGGGUAGCCGGCCUGAGAGGGUGACCGGCCACAUUGGGACGGAGAUACGGCCAAGACUCCUACGGGGGGCAGCAGUGGGGAAUAUUGCACAAGGGGCGGAAGCCUGAUGCAGCAACGCCGCGUGGGGGAGGACGGCCUUCGGGUGGUAAACCGCUUUCGCCUGGGACGAAGGGGGGGUGACGGUAAUGGGUAAAGAAGCACCGGCUAAUUACGU
rnacentral:rRNA from 1 species